rnacentral:rRNA from 1 species
GACGAACGCUGGCGGCGUGCUUAACACAUGCAAGUCGAGCGAGAUCCAUCCAGUGGCAACACUGGUGAAGAUCUAGCGGCGAACGGGUGAGUAACACGUGAGCAACCUGCCCCGAAGACCGGGAUAACAGCGGGAAACCGCUGCUAAUACCGGAUGCCCUCACCGGGCCGCAUGACCUGGUGAGGAAAUGGCUGAGUCUUAGUAAACUCAGUCCGCUUCAGGAGGGGCUCGCGGGCUAUCAGCUUGUUGGUGAGGUAACGGCUCACCAAGGCUACGA